ACACACACACACACACACACACACACACACUUUGCAUUAGCAGCUCAUGCUUCAGUGCUCUGAGAGACUUUAUAGCUCUGUGACUUUAACACUUCAUGACUGAAAGCUGCUGCUCAGCGACUUCACCCACAGCAACCAUGAGUUUGAUCUUCAUCUUCAUCUGCACACUGGCCCUCUGCACUCGAGGAUCCAGAGCUCAGACUGUGACUCAGAGUCCUGCAGUAAAAUCUGUUUCUCCAGGAGGCACGCUCACCAUCAGCUGUAAAACCAGUGUUGAUGUUUAUUCUAACUAUUUCUCCUGGUACCAGCAGAAACCUGGAGAAGCUCCUAAACUCUUGAUUAAAUAUAUUAGCACUAGACAAUCAGGAAUUCCAGAUCGUUUCAGUGGCAGUGGAUCUGGAUCUGAUUUCACUCUGACCAUCAGUAGAGUCCAGACUGAAGAUGCCGCAGAUUAUUACUGUAUGUAUGUACCUAAUGUCAGUGGCUGGAUGUUCACACAGUGUUUUAUCGCCGUACAAAAACCUCAGCGAGUGUGACUGCUGCAGCAGGGACCUUCUGCAGGUGCUGAGGGGGAUUUACAGUACAAUGACUCCCUCUAGACUGAGUCAUGCAGCUACAAUCUAGCAGCAGCAUGGCUGCUCUAAAUGAUUGGUGUAACACAUACAGGAGAUCUAAGGCCUAACAAAGACAGAAAUGUUACAGGACUUUUCUGUAAAUGUUUUUAACAUGGAUGCAUGUAAGUGAAAAAAUCCAGGUUGUCUCAAAAGAUGUAUUGUAUUGAUUGAUAGAUAUUUGGCCACUGUGUGACUAUACCCCAUACUGCAGAAAAACAAACCCAAUAUACUACUAUCCUUUAAGUCCUGUACACCUCUUAAUGUUUUUUCUCAACCUCUAGCAUGGACCACUAGACACUCAGAUGCAAACUGCUUUCCUUCAUUCUAUCUUUCACAUAAACAGUCCCACUGGUUUCACUAUGAAUAUCGACAGUCAUUUUGUAGAAAUGUACAUGACAAAUAAUAUAAAGAUGAAAACAAUCACAUUUAAGACAGAUGUUUUUGUUCUCUCCAUUAAAAAAUGGGGAUGCUCCCUUUGGUUGAGGGUAAAAGCCUUGAAAUGCAAACCUUGCUAGUGAUGGAAUAAAGACAAUGAACAAGUCAGUGAAUGCAGUGUUACAG